CGCACAUUGCGCCCGCCAGUAUUCUGGCGGGCAUGCCUGUUCGAGCGUCAUUUCAACCAUCAAGCCCCGGGCUUGUGUUGGGGACCUGCGGCUGCCGCAGGCCCUGAAAACCAGUGGCGGGCUCGCUAGUCACUCCGAGCGUAGUAGUUUACACCUCGCUCAGGGCGUGCUGCGGGUUCCGGCCGUUAAAAGCCUUAUUUUACCCAAGGUUGACCUCGGAUCAGGUAGGAAGACCCGCUGAACUUAA
rnacentral:misc_RNA from 1 species